UGCUUCAAAUCAUCUGUAGUACCACAGCUGACCUGAAGAGCGCAGUAGAGACACUGCUGAUAUUUGCCAUAGGACUCUUCACUGCAUGUGAGCCGCCACUGGUUUUGCUUCAUUAUCACCCAGUUUAUAGCUACACAGUACCAGGAAUGUUGAAUACCACAGAUGUCUCUAUACGGAGAGUCCAACAUCAUCUGUAAUGCUCCACCACCAUAAAAUGUCUUCAACAAACUUCAUUUUCCACAACUUAUAAAUUUCUACAAGUUAGAGACUGUCUCUUCUAAUAAGACGUCACAAUCUUCUAUCAGAAAAGAAAGUCCUUUAAGAAAGAAAUACAUGGCUUUGGGACUGCAUGAAACGUGCACGCCGUGCUCACGAGGUUCCACGCUGGCGGUACAGCAGCAUGUCAUUGAAUAGAAAAUAACCAUAGAUCGUGCUCUUCCAUUCCCAGUGGGAAUUCACCACACAUCUUUGGUGUGCAGACACCUACUGAGAAUUCAAAGCUUUCCAGAGAAGAGUCCGAGUUCACCUCCUCCACUCGGAUUUCUGUACGCCUUGUAUGAUGGCUGAUGGAGAACACAAUGUCAACGAAGUUUACUUUCUGUCAGCAGCUCAGCACACAAGCUGUGCCCGGCGCGACUUUGGUUAUGAAUAUUGAUUACAUUGUGCAACGUUUCCUUGAUUUGCUGAACAGCAGAUGUUGGUAGACCAUUAAAUUUGAUGAUGUCAUAUUGUCAAGAAAAGAAAUCAUCAGGAAUGAGCUGAUCUCACAUGUUCACACUUACACUGAUAAUGAGAGGACUUGACAAGUGUGGAAGUGUAUGGAGAAGGACAUUUCAGAGUUUGAAGGCAGAAAUGACUACUGAUUCACUGGAUGGUGCUUGAAUAGAUUUGUUAUCAGCAGAACUCCAUGUGGCAACACAUAUGUGGAAUAUUCCCAUCAUGGAGCCUGACAAAUCAGUGUAUGAGGAACAGACUCACAAUAGGCAAAGUUAUUGGUAGGAUAUGUCCUCUGACCAGAGAUAUUUAAAACCAUGGCAGAUUCAAAGAGCAUCCAGUGGUUAAUUGGUUUAUUUCUGUACCAGCAAAUCAAAAUAAAAGCACAU